UGGGGAAUAUUGGACAAUGGGCGAAAGCCUGAUCCAGCCAUGCCGCGUGUGUGAAGAAGGUCUUCGGAUUGUAAAGCACUUUCAGUUGGGAGGAAGGGCAGUAAGCGAAUACCUUGCUGUUUUGACGUUACCGACAGAAUAAGCACCGGCUAACUCUGUGCCAGCAGCCGCGGUAAUACAGAGGGUGCAAGCGUUAAUCGGAAUUACUGGGCGUAAAGCGCGCGUAGGUGAUUAGUUAAGUUGAAUGUGAAAGCCCCGGGCUCAACCUGGGAAAUGCAUCCGAAGAUGGAGUGAUAGAGGAGGGCAGAGGGUGGUGGAAUUUCCUGGGUAGCGGUGAAAUGAGUAGGUAAAGGAAGGAACACCAGUGGCGAAGGCGACCACCUGGGCUAAUACUGACACUGAGGUGCGAAAGAGUGGGGAGCAAACAGG
rnacentral:rRNA from 1 species